CCUGAUGGCUCAGACGGUAAAGAAUCUGCCUGGAAUGCAGGAGACCUGGGUUCAAUCCCUGAGUCAGGA
rnacentral:tRNA from 1 species